rnacentral:rRNA from 1 species
AGAGUUUGAUCAUGGCUCAGGACGAACGCUGGCGGCGCGCCUAACACAUGCAAGUCGAACGGACGAGGAUUGGUGCUUGCACUGAUCCGAGUUAGUGGCGGACGGGUGAGUAACGCGUGAGUAACCUGCCUUUUAGAGGGGGAUAACGUCUGGAAACGGACGCUAAUACCGCAUAAUAUGUUUAUGCCGCAUGGUGUAGAUAUCAAAGGAGCAAUCCGCUAAGAGAUGGACUCGCGUCCAAUUAGCUAGUUGGUGAGGUAACGGCUCACCAAGGCGACGAUUGGUAGCCGGACUGAGAGGUUGAACGGCCACAUUGGGACUGAGACACGGCCCAGACUCCUACGGGAGGCAGCAGUGGGGAAUAUUGCACAAUGGGGGAAACCCUGAUGCAGCGACGCCGCGUGAGGGAAGAAGGUUUUCGGAUUGUAAACCUCUGUCCUUGGUGAAGAAGAUGACUGUAGCCGAGGAGGAAGCCACGGCUAACUACGUGCCAGCAGCCGCGGUAAUACGUAGGUGGCAAGCGUUGUCCGGAAUUACUGGGUGUAAAGGGAGCGUAGGCGGGAAUGCAAGUUGAAUGUUAAAACUACAGGCUCAACCUGUAGUCGCGUUCAAAACUGUAUUUCUUGAGUGAAGUAGAGGUAGGCGGAAUUCCUAGUGUAGCGGUGAAAUGCGUAAAUAUUAGGAGGAACACCAGUGGCGAAGGCGGCCUACUGGGCUUUAACUGACGCUGAGGCUCGAAAGCGUGGGUAGCAAACAGGAUUAGAUACCCUGGUAGU